rnacentral:lncRNA from 1 species
AAUUAUUUUAAAUUCACUAUCUAAUCUUUAAAUUUUUAAUUUUACUAUGCAACCUUUCAAUUUGUUUAAUUUGAGCAAGUCAACGGCAUUUUGAUUUAAAAAUUUGAAUGUGUCGUUUAUCUUUAUAGGUUCAGUUAAUAUAUCUUAUGCAACUUUUAGUAUUAUAUAUAUAGAGAGCUUGACUGAGCUACUAUCGAUAGUAAACGAUUCGGUUUACUACUGAUUUAUUUUUUAUGAUAGAGCUUUCAAAUUGACGAUCGGCACCGUUGAAAAUGAUUUAGACUAUUUAAACUAUUUAAAAAUUAAAUUUUAAUUUUUUUAUAUUACUGUCCGAACGAUCAAAGGGCCAGAAAAUCCUUAAUUUCAAUGUUUGAUAUGGUGUGUUUGCUCGUUUAACGAUAUAGAAGAGUCAAAAUCAGCUAAAUUUUAUUUAGAAAAUUUUUUAACUAUUUUAAAAAAAAGAUUUAAACUGUAGAUUUUAAAUACAAAAAUUGUAUCAUCACUUUUUGAAUGAUAUUUAUUUUCAUCCAUUAAUUUUUUAUUUAUUUGAUAAACAAGAGAACAAUAUCGGAAAAGCGUGAAAUUUGAUUUUCAGUUAGUUUAAAUGGUUUAAAUCAUAUACAACGGUACUGAUCGCCGAUUUGGAAGCUCUAUCAUCGAAAGCAGAUCGUAGUAAAUAAAGCCAUUUACUCUCUCUCUCUUUCUUUCUCUUUAUAUUAUAUACUAUUGAUAGUACCAAGAGCUUGGUGCUUUUAGGUUUCCAGCCCUUGGAUAAAAGAAUGUGCGGUUAAGAUGAAGCGGUCCCCUAGGGGUUGAGUGGAUGGUUGUUGAUCUAAUGGGUAGAAAUUGUCAAAGGGAUAGAUCUAAUGGCGAAAAACUCAAUAGCACUAAGGGCAUGUUUGGUUCGUACAUUUUGGAUCCGGAAUGGGAAUCGGUUUGACCAAAUCCUGCUAAUUUUGUUUGGUUCACAGGAAUCGGUUUAGGACUCCUAUUCCGGAUUGGAAUGGGAAAUGAUCCAUUAGCUUACAAAUUGAUUCCGGUCUCCAAGCCCGGAUUGAAGUUUCAAUCCCAAGCCUACACUCUCCUCUUCCUCAAGCCCAGCCCAACUUAUCUCUAUCUUAUCCAUUCUUUCUCUCCGUAUACCAAUCUUUUCCCUCUUUUGUCAUCAUUAAGAAAAACGUGAUAUAUUAUUUUUUAUUACAAUUUUAUUCAAAAAAUUUAUGCAUUUUUUUGUAAUUUUUUGCAUAAAAAUUUUUAAAAUAAAUUCCUUUUUUGGGCAUAGCUCUAACUUGAGAAUAGUAUUAAUUUUUUUUUAUAAAUUUUAGAUAGUUUUAUAAAAUUAUAUUUAAAAGUAAAAUUAGUAUUAUGUUAUUCUAUUAUUUUUUACUUUGUAUAAACCAAACAGUAAAAUAGGAAUAAUUCAUUCCGAUUUUCAAUCCAUAUAUGAACCAAACGUCUUGGGGGAGUACGGCAAUCCAAUUGCCAUUCCAAUUUAUUCUCAUUCCAUUAUCCAUUCCAAUUUAUUCCCAUUCCAUUAUCCAUUUCAAUUCCUCUAUUGAACCAAACAAGCCCUAAGUGUUUAGUAACUAUCGAUAGUAUAGUAGCCAGACUCUCUCUCUCUCUAUAUAUAUCUAUAUAAUUAUAUUUUUCACCACACAUAAAAGCAAUCUUUCUACAAUAUUUCUAAUAGAACCAUAUAAAGUUCAAAGCACCCAAAGUAAAAAAGAGAACAAUUUAAGGGUUGUUUGGUUUGACGUAAUUAGAAAUACAGUGUAGUUGAAGAUGCAUACAACUAAGGAUGCAACAGUUACAACUGUAUAUAUCUUGUUUGGAUAAAUGCAGUAUAAUGUAUCGUAAUUAUAAAUAAUUUGUUGGUUUUAUGUAUUUGAGAAGUGCGUUUAUAAAAUUUUAUCACUUUAUAUGCAUGGUGGAAAAGUUAUCUCCAAUGCAAAAAAAUAAUAAUUAUGGAGAUAAGCUUACCUCUGGUUUAAAAUUACUCUUUUCAGCUGCUGUAGUUGAGACACUUGAUGCAGUUCCAACUGCAGCAGUUGGAUUCAAAUGAGUUGAACCAAAUAUUGAAUUUGAAUUCGCCUGUAA